GGCCCAUGCACAGGGGGAGGUGGGGGCGGACGACGACGGGAGCAACGAGGCCGAGGCCGCCUCCUGGCUCCUCCCCGAGCCCGACAACAGCCACGAGGACAGCGCCGCCGCCACCGAUGCGUUCUUCGCGGACUCCGACGGGUACCUCGGCGUCGACCUGGACUUCGCCCGGUCCAUGGACGGCAUCAAGGCCAUCGGCGUGCCGGUCGCGCCGCCCGAGCUGGACAUCGCCGCCGGCGGCUUCUUCUACCCCGACCACUCCAUGAACCACAGCGUAAGCCUCGCGGCUGUGCUAUGAUUUCUAGAUCCUCAGCAAACACCGCGAAAUGGUUCAAUUCGAGAUUCGUCCUCCCAAAAAAGUGGCUUCUUUGAGUGGACUUGGGGAUAAUGUGGACGCCUUCAACCGCUUAUUGCAGGUCUCGUCGUCGGAGGUGGCGGUUGUGCCGGACGCGCUGGCGGCGGGCGGGCCGGCGGUGCCGGUGGUGAGCAGGGGGAAGGAGCGGGAGGCGCGUCUGAUGCGGUACCGUGAGAAGCGCAAGAACCGGCGGUUCGACAAGACCAUCCGGUACGCGUCCCGCAAGGCCUACGCCGAGACGCGGCCGCGCAUCAAGGGCCGCUUCGCCAAGCGCUGCUCCGCGGAGGCCGAGGACGAGGCGCUGGAGCACGAGGAGGGGGCGUGCUUCUCCCCCGCGGUGUCGGCGCCCGCGGCGUCCGACGGCGUCGUCCCGUCCUUCUGCUGAGGGAGAGACGGACGGCGACCCGGCGGCGGCCGCCCCGACCCCUCUCUUCCGCUCCCCGGCGACGACCUCGCUAAUUUUGCCGACUCUGAAUGGAUCUGAACGCAUGCGACGCGCGCGCUCC
rnacentral:lncRNA from 1 species